CCCUUAGAUGUUCUGGGCCGCACGCGCGCUACACUGACGAUGGCAACGAGUUUUUCCUUCGCCGAAAGGUGUGGGUAAUCUUUUGAAACAUCGUCGUGCUGGGGAUAGAUCAUUGCAAUUUUUGAUCUUGAACGAGGAAUUCCUAGUAAGCGCGAGUCAUCAGCUCGCGUUGAUUACGUCCCUGCCCUUUGUACAAACCGCCCGUCGCUACUACCGAUUGAAUGGUUUAGUGAGGACUCCUGAUUGGCGCCGCCGCCCCGGCAACGGAGCAGCGGACUGCCGAAAAGUUGUUCAAACUUGAUCAUUUAGAGGAAGUAAAAGUCGUAACA
rnacentral:rRNA from 1 species